rnacentral:misc_RNA from 1 species
UCUCCGUAGGUGAACCUGCGGAGGGAUCAUUACAGAGUUCAUGCCCUUCCGGGUAGAUCUCCCACCCUGUGUUAUCGUCACCUUUGUUGCUUUGGCGGGCCGCCCAGGCCUUGACCGGGCUACCGGCUCCGGCUGGUACGCGCCCGCAAGAGGACCCUAACCUCUUGAAUAUCAGUUUCGUCUGAGUACUAUGUAAUAGUUAAAACUUUCAACAACGGAUCUCUUGGUUCUG